AUGGAGCUCAAUGUUCACCUUCGUGCUUCCGAUGGUGAGCCCUUAUCUGAUCCGACGCGUUAUCGUCAUCUUGUUGGGAGUCUUGUCUAUCUUGCUGUCACUCGUCCAGAUAUCUCCUAUCCUGUCCAUGUUCUGAGUCAGUUUGUUUCUGCUCCCACUUCGGUUCACUAUAGUCACCUUCUUCGUGUUCUACGAUAUCUUCGUGGCACGAUCUCUCAACAUCUCUUCUUUCCCCGUUCCAGCUCGCUAGAGCUCCAGGCCUAUUCAGAUGCUACAAGGGCUAGUGAUCCUCGGAUCGUCGUUCACUAUUUGCUUACUGUGUUUUUCUUGGCGGUUCUCUCAUUGCUUGGAAGACAAAGAAACAAACUGCAGUUUCCCGUUCGAGUGCAGAGGCUGAGUUGCGAGCUAUGGCUCUAUUGA
rnacentral:rRNA from 1 species